GCCCUGGUAGUUAAAUGGAUAUAACAAGCCCCUCCUAAGGGCUAGUUACAGGUUCGAUUCCCGUCCAGGGUACCA
rnacentral:tRNA from 1 species